rnacentral:rRNA from 1 species
GAUGAACGCUGACAGAAUGCUUAACACAUGCAAGUCUUUGGCGAAGCUGUGCUUGCACAGCCUAGCCAAGGCGGACGGGUGAGUAACGCGUAAGGAACUUGCCCUGCAGUCAGGGAUAACAGACGGAAACGACUGAUAAGACCUGGUAAAGUCAGGCGGACCCAUGUCCAGCCUGAUGAAAAGAGAUGCUGCAGGAGAGCCUUGCGUCCUAUUAGCUUGUUGGUGCGGUAACGGCCCACCAAGGCGAUGAUAGGUAGCCGGCCUGAGAGGGGGGACGGCCACAAGGGGACUGAGAUCCGGCCCUUACUCCUACGGGAGGCAGCAGUGGGGAAUAUUGGACAAUGGGGGCAACCCUGAUCCAGCAAUUCUGUGUGCACGAUGGAGGUUUUCGGAUUGUAAAGUGCUUUCAGCAGGGAAGAAAAAAAUGACGGUACCUGCAGAAGAAGCGACGGCUAAAUACGUG